GCCCGAUUAGCUCAGUGGAUAGAGCGAUCCCUUCCUAAGGGAUAGGUCGUGGGUUCGACCCCCACAUUGGGUG
rnacentral:tRNA from 1 species